rnacentral:rRNA from 1 species
UCGGGAAUUUUGGGCAAUGGGCGAAAGCCUGACCCAGCAACGCCGCGUGAGGGAUGAAGUAUUUCGGUAUGUAAACCUCGAAAGAAUGGGAAGAAUAAAUGACGGUACCAUUUAUAAGCUCCGGCUAACUACGUGCCAGCAGCCGCGGUAAUACGUAGGGAGCAAGCGUUGUCCGGAUUUACUGGGCGUAAAGGGCGCGUAGGCGGCGCGGUAAGUCACUUGUGAAAUCUCUGAGCUUAACUCAGAACGGCCAAGUGAUACUGCUGUGCUAGAGUGCGGAAGAGGCAACCGGAAUUCUUGGUGUAGCGGUGAAAUGCGUAGAUAUCAAGAGGAACACCUGAGGCGAAGGCGGGUUGCUGGGCCGACACUGACGCUGAGGCACGAAAGCGUGGGGAGCAAACA